AGUGAACGCUGGCGGUAGGCCUAACACAUGCAAGUCGAACGGCAGCACAGUAAGAGCUUGCUCUUACGGGUGGCGAGUGGCGGACGGGUGAGGAAUACAUCGGAAUCUACUUUUUCGUGGGGGAUAACGUAGGGAAACUUACGCUAAUACCGCAUACGACCUACGGGUGAAAGCAGGGGAUCUUCGGACCUUGCGCGAUUGAAUGAGCCGAUGUCGGAUUAGCUAGUUGGCGGGGUAAAGGCCCACCAAGGCGACGAUCCGUAGCUGGUCUGAGAGGAUGAUCAGCCACACUGGAACUGGGACACGGUCCAGACUCCUACGGGAGGCAGCAGUGGGGAAUAUUGGACAAUGGGCGCAAGCCUGAUCCAGCCAUACCGCGUGAGUGAAGAAGGCCUUCGGGUUGUAAAGCCCUUUUGUUGGGAAAGAAAAGCAGCAGGUUAAUACCCCGCUGUUCUGACGGUACCCAAAGAAUAAGCACCGGCUAACUUCGUG
rnacentral:rRNA from 1 species